rnacentral:rRNA from 1 species
CAGCAGCCGCGGUAAUACGUAGGUGGCAAGCGUUGUCCGGAAUUAUUGGGCGUAAAGGGCUCGCAGGCGGUUUCUUAAGUCUGAUGUGAAAGCACCCGGCUCAACCGGGGAGGGUCAUUGGAAACUGGGAAACUUGAGUGCAGAAGAGGAGAGUGGAAUUCCACGUGUAGCGGUGAAAUGCGUAGAGAUGUGGAGGAACACCAGUGGCGAAGGCGACUCUCUGGUCUGUAACUGACGCUGAGGAGCGAAAGCGUGGGGAGCGAACAGGAUUAGAUACCCCCGUAGUCCCUGUCUCUUAUAC